rnacentral:rRNA from 1 species
GACGAACCGUGCGAACGUUGUUCGGAAUCACUGGGCGUAAAGGGUGCGUAGGCGGGUUUUUAAGUCAGGGGUGAAAUCCUGGAGCUCAACUCCAGAACUGCCUUUGAUACUGGAGAGCUUGAGUCCGGAAGAGGUGAGUGGAACUCCGAGUGUAGAGGUGAAAUUCGUAGAUAUUCGGAAGAACACCAGUGGCGAAGGCGGCUCACUGGUCCGGUACUGACGCUGAGGUGCGAAAGCGUGGGGAGCAAACGGG